UACAGAGGGUGCGAGCGUUAAUCGGAAUUACUGGGCGUAAAGCGUGCGUAGACGGCUAUCUAAGUCGGGUGUGAAAGCCCCGGGCUCAACCUGGGAAUUGCAUUCGAGACUGAAUAGCUAGGGUACGGUAGAGGGAAGUGGAAUUUCCGGUGUAGCGGUGAAAUGCGUAGAUAUCGGAAGGAACAUCAGUGGCGAAGGCGGGUCUCUGGGCCGAUACUGACGCUGAGGAGCGAAAGCGUGGGGAGCGAACAGG
rnacentral:rRNA from 1 species